AUCCAGCUAACGAAUCCCAAAUAGGACGAAAUGCGCAUCCUGACUGGAU
rfam:Trichobilharzia regenti genome assembly, scaffold: TRE_scaffold0044682